rnacentral:rRNA from 1 species
GACGAACGCUGGCGGCGUGCCUAAUACAUGCAAGUUGAGCGCUGAAGGUUGGUACUUGUAUCCACUGGAUGAGCAGCGAACGGGUGAGUAACGCGUGGGGAAUCUGCCUUUGAGCGGGGGACAACAUUUGGAAACGAAUGCUAAUACCGCAUAAAAACUUUAAACACAAGUUUUAAGUUUGAAAGAUGCAAUUGCAUCACUCAAAGAUGAUCCCGCGUUGUAUUAGCUAGUUGGUGAGGUAAAGGCUCACCAAGGCGAUGAUACAUAGCCGACCUGAGAGGGUGAUCGGCCACAUUGGGACUGAGACACGGCCCAAACUCCUACGGGAGGCAGCAGUAGGGAAUCUUCGGCAAUGGACGAAAGUCUGACCGAGCAACGCCGCGUGAGUGAAGAAGGGUUUCGGAUCGUAAAACUCUGUUGGUAGAGAAGAACGUUGGUGAGAGUGGAAAGCUCAUCAAGUGACGGUAACUACCCAGAAAGGGACGGCUAACUACGUG